rnacentral:tRNA from 1 species
GGGGUUGUGGCCCAGUGGAAGAGUAUUUGCUUGACAUCCAGAAGGUCCCAGAUUCAAUCCCUGGAAACUCCA